AUGGUACGAGAGAGAGGGAGAGAAGGAGAAAAACCUUCUCCUUCAACAACAACAAGAAAUUCAGCAAAUCAAAGAGGUUCUAGGCCUGAAAUUGAAUGCAUGUAUUGAGAUUCUUGAUCAUCUAAGUGUCUCUAACAUAAGGAGUGAAAAAGGAGGAAACGAGCCAUUCCGGGUCACAAACAAGGCAACGUAAAGUGUAAGCCGAAAAAUGUUAAGGAUAUGGGUUGAAUGAGUUGAAUGGGCAAUGCGCCAAGAUGAGAAUUUCAUGUUUGGAAGAAGGAAAGGCUACUUGAUCGAUGGCACUACUUGGGUCGAACACACUCAUGAUGCACGCUUCCGCGAAGAUCCUAUUUAUGGUUUAAACUUUUGGUUAAAUGUUUUUGUUAAAACGGGUCUUUUGUAUGUAAGUCAACCCGGUAGUGGUUAGGUAUUAAACUUGUAGUUAAAGACUUGUUAAUACUUUAUGAAAUAUUGGGGUAUAAACUCUUUUGUUA